CUCACUGCUCUAUUUUGUAUCUGUUUCAGUUUCUUCAUGUUUUCUUGAGUUGAAAUCUACUAAGACUACUAGAGAUUCUAGAGUAGAAAUAUUUGAGUUGGAAUCCCAGUGCAGAUGGGACUGUUGUGCUGACCAAAUAAAAUCCUAUCCUCACCACAUCAAGAAAUGAAUCAGAUCUAUGGCCUCUCAUUUGUGGCUAGAGUUAUUCUCAUGCUGUAUGGAGUCUGGCAAGAUGCUCAUAUGUCAGUGAAGUUUACUGACGUUGAUUACCAUGUUUUUACUGAUGCAGCCAAGUUUGUUGUUGAGGUGAG
rnacentral:sRNA from 1 species